UGUUUCGGCUAGGGGGUCAUCCCGACUUACCAACCCGAUGCAAACUGCGAAUACCGAAGAAUGUUAUCACGGGAGACACACGGCGGGUGCUAACGUCCGUCGUGAAGAGGGAAACAACCCAGACCGCCAGCUAAGGUCCCAAAGUCAUGGUUAAGUGGGAAACGAUGUGGGAAGGCACAGACAGCCAGGAUGUUGGCUUAGAAGCAGCCAUCAUUUAAAGAAAGCGUAAUAGCUCACUGGUCGAGUCGGCCUGCGCGGAAGAUGUAACGGGGCUAAACCAUGCACCGAAGCUGCGGCAGCGACACUAUGUGUUGUUGGGUAGGGGAGCGUUCUGUAAGCCGUUGAAGGUGUACUGUGAGGUAUGCUGGAGGUAUCAGAAGUGCGAAUGCUGACAUAAGUAACGAUAAUGCGGGUGAAAAACCCGCACGCCGGAAGACCAAGGGUUCCUGUCCAACGUUAAUCGGGGCAGGGUGAGUCGACCCCUAAGGCGAGGCCGAAAGGCGUAGUCGAUGGGAAACAGGUUAAUAUUCCUGUACUUGGUGUUACUGCGAAGGGGGGACGGAGAAGGCUAUGUUAGCCGGGCGACGGUUGUCCCGGUUUAAGCAUGUAGGCGGAGGUUCCAGGUAAAUCCGGUACCUUUUAACGCUGAGGUGUGAUGACGAGGCACUACGGUGCUGAAGUAACAAAUGCCCUGCUUCCAGGAAAAGCCUCUAAGCAUCAGGUAACACGAAAUCGUACCCCAAACCGACACAGGUGGUCAGGUAGAGAAUACCAAGGCGCUUGAGAGAACUCGGGUGAAGGAACUAGGCAAAAUGGUGCCGUAACUUCGGGAGAAGGCACGCUGAUAUGUAGGUGAAGUGAUUUACUCAUGGAGCUGAAAUCAGUCGAAGAUACCAGCUGGCUGCAACUGUUUAUUAAAAACACAGCACUGUGCAAACACGAAAGUGGACGUAUACGGUGUGACGCCUGCCCGGUGCCGGAAGGUUAAUUGAUGGGGUUAUCCGUAAGGAGAAGCUCUUGAUCGAAGCCCCGGUAAACGGCGGCCGUAACUAUAACGGUCCUAAGGUAGCGAAAUUCCUUGUCGGGUAAGUUCCGACCUGCACGAAUGGCGUAAUGAUGGCCAGGCUGUCUCCACCCGAGACUCAGUGAAAUUGAACUCGCUGUGAAGAUGCAGUGUACCCGCGGCAAGACGGAAAGACCCCGUGAACCUUUACUAUAGCUUGACACUGAACACUGGUCCUUGAUGUGUAGGAUAGGUGGGAGGCUUUGAAGUGUGGACGCCAGUCUGCAUGGAGCCAUCCUUGAAAUACCACCCUUUAAUGGCU
rnacentral:rRNA from 1 species